rnacentral:rRNA from 1 species
AGCGAACGCUGGCGGCAGGCCUAACACAUGCAAGUCGAACGAACUCUUCGGAGUUAGUGGCGGACGGGUGAGUAACACGUGGGAACGUGCCCUUUGGUACGGAAUAACUCAGGGAAACUUGAGCUAAUACCGUAUGUGCCCUUCGGGGGAAAGAUUUAUCGCCAUUGGAGCGGCCCGCGUCUGAUUAGCUGGUUGGUGAGGUAAAGGCUCACCAAGGCUACGAUCAGUAGCUGGUCUGAGAGGAUGAUCAGCCACAUUGGGACUGAGACACGGCCCAAACUCCUACGGGAGGCAGCAGUGGGGAAUCUUGCGCAAUGGGCGAAAGCCUGACGCAGCCAUGCCGCGUGAAUGAUGAAGGUCUUAGGAUUGUAAAAUUCUUUCACCGGGGACGAUAAUGACGGUACCCGGAGAAGAAGCCCCGGCUAACUUCGUG